rnacentral:rRNA from 1 species
GGAGGGUGCAAGCGUUAAUCGGAAUAACUGGGCGUAAAGGGCGUGUAGGUGGAUGUUCAAGUCAGAGGUGAAAGCCCUGGGCUCAACCUGGGAACUGCCUCUGAAACUGUGUAUCUAGAGUAUGGGAGAGGGAAGUGGAAUUUCCGGUGUAGCGGUGAAAUGCGUAGAUAUCGGAAGGAACACCAGUGGCGAAGGCGACUUCCUGGCCUAAUACUGACACUGAGACGCGAAAGCGUGGGUAGCGAACAGGGAUUGGAUACCCUGGUAGUCCACGCUGUAAACGAUGAGAACUAGACGUUGGGAAGCCACGAGUUUCUUAGUGUCGCAGCUAACGCGUUAAGUUCUCCGCCUGGGGAUACGGCCGCAAGGCUA